rnacentral:rRNA from 1 species
GACGAACGCUGGCGGCGUGCCUAAUACAUGCAAGUAGAACGCAGUUGCGAACGGGUGAGUAACGCGUAGGUAACUGCCUGGUAGCGGGGGAUAACUAUUGGAAACGAUAGCUAAUACCGCCUAAUACCAGACGGACCUGCGUUGUAUUAGUUAGUUGGUGGGGUAACGGCUUACCAAGGCCACAAUACAUAGCCGACCUGAGAGGGGGAUCGGCCACACUGGGACUGAGACACGGCCCAGACUCCUACGGGAGGCAGCAGUAGGGAAUCGUCGGCAAUGGACGGAAGUCUGAACGAGCAACGCCGCGUGAGUGAAGAAGGUUUUCGGAUCGUAAAGCUCUGUUGUUAGAGAAGCGGUAUCUUACCAGAAAGGGACGGCUAACUACGUGCCAGCAGCCGCGGUAAUUC